CCAAGCGUGCAGAGAGAGACUGUCUGCCAGUCGCUGAUGCAGACAGACAGUAUCACUGCAGCCCUGUAGACUCAGGUGCUGCAGCUGCUCUCAUCACCGUAGCUCAGCCAGCUUUUUAGAAGAGUGUGUGUGGAGACCUUCAGUGCUGCAGGAGCCCUGAGAGCUAAGUCACUUCCUGAUGUCAGCUAAUAUCUUUGGCCCCUACAUGUCCCUAUGGGCCUUAGGAAGGCCGUGUCUGGGAAGGGUGCUGCGUAACGGCUCUGCUGCUGCUCAUAACGUGCUGACGUGAACGUGCAGUUUGAGGGGCAGCUCCAAUCCAGAAACACUGUGGCUCUGAGGCCUGGGUGCUGGCUGGGAGCCGCUGAGCCAUGAGGUCUUCUGCCGCUUCGGAAUCUCCAGAUUGUUUUCAAUUUGAAUUUCAUUUGUUUUCAAAUUAAGUCAUACAUUUGUAGAAAAAAAAACAAAAAACAA
rnacentral:lncRNA from 1 species